rnacentral:lncRNA from 12 species
UUCUCUAUUUAACAAAUUGUUGAUUUUCUCUUAAAAUUUCAUAUUAAGCCCAAACCUUAUGAUUAUGACAGAUUUCAGAACAAAACUUCACUUAAAUUUGUUAGAAGCUCUUUUAAUGCCUGGCCGAAUAGGAAGUGUUCCAGAUGGGUAUAUAUGUAUCUACACAUAAGCCUCAGUAAACAAAGCAGUCCAAGUUUUUGGGUCCAGUCCAAUUCGGCCAUCAUUAUAUAAAUAUGACCUUAAGACUAGAGUCCUUGAAGUAAUUUGAUUUAGUGUUUAGCUUAAGAGCUACCAUAAUCCUGUCUUUUAGCUCCUUGACAUUUAAAAUGCCUCUUUACACAGGAAGUCACUGUUACAGGUUAACGCAGCAAGAUUCAGACAGCGUCACCACUUUCUGUAGAGCUUUUCUCCCUCCACGAUUCCAGAUCCUGUCUAGGUGGAUAGCCUUUUUUAUCAUCUUGUCUUUACCAUCUCACCAUUUUAUACAAAAGAUAAUCUCUGUGCAUUGUAUUUAUGUACUAGAUCAUUCCUUCAGUCAAAUAAACACCGACAUUCACUGCUAAAGGUAUAAAGAAUUCUAAAAUAUGACCAUUGCCUUUAAAGGGUCAUCUUAUGGCUCUGGUGAGUGGUUUGGAGUUUGCAUAUCUACCCCCUAAUCCAGACUCUUGAGGGUGUGGUUGAUUUCAAACACCCAUUCCACCCCAGGUGAUAAGGCUUUGAAUCACCAUUGACAAUCCCAUCCUCUUUGCCUGUGACUGGUUUAGGAUUGGGUGUGUGACUUAGUUCUGACAGUUGAGAUGAAAGAGGAAGGCUGCUGAAGGAGUCUCUGGGGGGAAGUUCUUCUCUCUCCUAAGAAAGAGCACAUGGAGAGGGCAUCAUCCAGGUCCCGCAGAGCAUCUCUGAAUGUGGGGUACCGCUCCUUGACAAUAUGGUCAAGUUUGUAGUUGGGCUUGUUGUCAUUUAGAUGCUCCACAGUGUUCCACUCGCUCUUCCCAUAUGCCUUCUGGAGCUUCCGGACAAACACCUUGUAUUUCCGGAACUUGUUGACAACGGGUUCAUGGAGGAGGAACUUGAUGUGUUUAAGAAGAUAAAAAGUUCCCGUUGCUGUAGAGCCUUUGUUAACCUUCUUCUGUUUGGGUUCAUGAGGAUAAAUGCCCUUCAGGAUGCACAGCCGCCUGAAGUCAGCCAGGCUCAGCUGCAGCUUCUUCCGGGCUUUGUUUCGGGUGGUGGAGGUGGUGAUUCUCCCUGGGUUCUC